rnacentral:rRNA from 1 species
UACGGAGGGUGCAAGCGUUAUCCGGAUUCACUGGGUUUAAAGGGUGCGUAGGUGGGCAGGUAAGUCAGUGGUGAAAUCUCCGGGCUUAACCCGGAAACUGCCAUUGAUACUAUUUGUCCUGAAUACCGUGGAGGUCAGCGGAAUAUGUCAUGUAGCGGUGAAAUGCUUAGAUAUGACAUAGAACACCAAUUGCGAAGGCAGCUUACUACACAGUUAUUGACGCUGAGGCACGAAAGCGUGGGGAUCAAACAGG